AUGAACGCUGGCGGCGUGCCUAAUACAUGCAAGUCGCGCGAACAGACGAGGAGCUUGCUCCUUCGACGUUAGCGGCGGACGGGUGAGUAACACGUAGGUAACCUACCUAUAAGACUGGGAUAACUUCGGGAAACCGGAGCUAAUACCGGAUAAUAUUUCGAACCGCAUGGUUCGAUAGUGAAAGAUGGCUUUGCUAUCACUUAUAGAUGGACCUGCGCCGUAUUAGCUAGUUGGUAAGGUAACGGCUUACCAAGGCAACGAUACGUAGCCGACCUGAGAGGGUGAUCGGCCACACUGGAACUGAGACACGGUCCAGACUCCUACGGGAGGCAGCAGUAGGGAAUCUUCCGCAAUGGGCGAAAGCCUGACGGAGCAACGCCGCGUGAGUGAUGAAGGUCUUCGGAUCGUAAAACUCUGUUAUUAGGGAAGAACAAACGUGUAAGUAACUGUGCACGUCUUGACGGUACCUAAUCAGAAAGCCACGGCUAACUACGUG
rnacentral:rRNA from 1 species